UGCAGAGGAAUCUGUGUGGGACGCCG
rnacentral:sRNA from 1 species